AAUCAGCUGCACCCCUUUUUCCCCACGCCUUUGCCGCCCUCCAGCCACCUUAAACCGCCGGAAGUCCGGCAUUCCACGUAGGCCCUGGUCCCCUCCCCCUCAUCUCUCCCUCCACGUGGCGUAACUAACUCUGACAAGGGAAUAUUCCCAAUCAUCACCGCCUCUCUCACUCGCCCUCAUGAAAUCACACACUCCUCUUCUUUUGGACGGAUUCUCGAUUAAUGGGAGUCGUAGGAUCAGGAGUUAAACUCUCAAUCCUAGCCUUCCAUUCCUCAAGAACCGACCUAUCUAAGAGAAGAAUUUGAUUUUUUUGGGACAGAGCUUCUGGACAGAUUUUCAGAUAAAAGUUUGAAGAGAAAAGGUUCUAGGGUUCUUGGGGCUCAUUUUGGAUUUUAUAUUUUUGUAUAAAUCUCAGAAAACAAAAUAUAGAUAAAGGUGUUUCUGUCCUUCUCGUCUUGGAUUCCGAUUUUUUAAACUUUUUUAAAAAUGAACUUCGCUUGGGGUUGCUGAGAUUGGGUUCGAGUUUUGUCGUCAGGGUCGUGGAUCCGGAGCGCAGUUCUGGAAGUGAGUUAAUCUCUGUUUUUGCUGGAUUUCGGACUCCACGUUUGUAGAUGAUUUUCUUCAUUUUUGCUCAUAUAUUCAAGGGAUUUUACUCUAACAGGUUUCUCUCAGAUCUUUCUUUUCUCUCUCUCUUUGUAUGCUACGGAUUGAGCUUCAAAAGAACCAUUUGAGAACGGGUGGGGUUUCGUACUUGUUUGGAUAAUAUCUUUUUAUUAAAUUUCCUUUAAUUGAAUGUUCUGAUCUUGAAUGGAUUUUGUGCUAAAAAAAUUUAAAAGAAAAACAGAAUACUUUGGAGUAGCUAACAUGUGCUUCGUCUAAACUAGUUAUAUAAUUUGAUCCAUUAUUUUUUUGAGUUCAAAUUUUUAGUGUUGUAUUGGGUGUUACAAUUAUUUAGCCUUCUCUUACUAAAACAGAAUAAGCUUGGCAUUAUAUUAAUAAAACAGGCAUAUUCAUAUUUCGUGCCUAUGUCUGCAAGUUCAUUCACAGUUUGAAGUUCAACCCACGUGAACUCCCUCUAAUUUAGUACUAAAGUGGCACUUCAGUUAAUUGAAUUCAGAAGCACUUUUUGAAUUGUUUGGAUUUUAAGGGAAAAUUGGGUACCGAUAAGCCUCAAAUGAUCCGUUGUCAGUAGCCAUUAAAAUAUUUGAGGAUUCUUUUCAAGUGUGUCUUCAUAGGUGCAAGUUUAAUUUGUCGGGUGUAUAAAAUGUAUAAGAUGUCUAAGGCUUUAAAUAUUGCAAUUUUGUCUGCCUAUAUCAUUCGUUGUUUCAUUCAAAGUUCACAUUCCAUUUUAUGGGUCGGGUUCUCGAAAACGCUGGUGUUGUCUUUUGUGGAGCUGGGCAGUGAGGAAAAUGUGAACGACAUCUCCAGAAAUUAGUGGCUCUUAUCAUAAUUUAAUCCAUCAUAUGUCUAUUUUAUUAUCACUUUGUAGGUUCUUUUCCUUUUGCGAUUUUGGUCUUAUCCUUCUUUGCUUGUCUGCUGUUUGAAUGAUUGUUGGAUCGCGGGAAGGUAAAGAUAGAGCCUGUCAGCUAUUAAAUUUUCACCUACAUACUUUAGGAUUGGGCUCGGUCCGGAUACAUGAAAUAAAUAGCCUAAAGAACAUGAGCAUGAAUUGAAUUCUCCUUUUAUUUAGUUGCCUUUAUUUACUUUAUUUAUUAUAUUAUUCGGUAGUAGCGAUCACAUCUGGGUAGGCAAUAUUAGGAUGUUUAUUUAGUUUUUAUUUUCAAGGUGAGAAGUUGUUCCCUUUAGUUUAUAUUUGGGGGAAUGCUCGCAGAUUUUGUAUAUAUUUUAUCCAGGGAAUGCCAUUGUAACGGAGGCGGUAAUGGAUAUUAUGGAACGAGUAUAGUGUAGACUUUUAAUAUUUCUCUUAUUUUAUUCUUUUUUUUUUAUUUAGGUGGGAACAACCUCGAGCCUCUUGCGUGUUUAUUUUACUUUUGUGUGUGUUGCCUCAAUUUGAAUAUCCCAAAAGCUAACUGGAUCAUGUACACAAUCGUACUAGUCAUGGGGCUCGAGGAAUGCCUAACACCUUCUCUUCGAGUCAAAUGAACUUCCUUAUCUAGAAUCUCUGGUGCAAACUAGUUUAGAGUCAAAUAUGUUUUUAAGGAAAAAUUGCUUUUAAAUGGUAACUUGGCACACCAAGAUUAUAUGCCAAGUGGCGACUUUAAUCCCUUUUAAACAAAUGUUUUGUCACUUUUCAAUUUUGAAAAAUCUUUUUGAACUUUACAAGUCUUUUUUUUUUAAAGGGGUUAGUGAAGUAAACAAAAGGGUGUAACAUAGAAUAGCAAGUAACUAGGCAUUCUAGCGAUCUUCAUUAGCAAGGCACAAGGUAUUGGAUAUUUUUCCUCUCG
rnacentral:lncRNA from 1 species